rnacentral:rRNA from 1 species
UACGUAGGGGGCAAGCGUUGUCCGGAAUUAUUGGGCGUAAAGAGCGUGUAGGCGGUCCGGUAAGUCAGCUGUGAAAGUCAAGGGCUCAACCCUUGAAUGCCGGUUGAUACUGUCGGGCUAGAGUCCGGAAGAGGCGAGUGGAAUUCCCGGUGUAGCGGUGAAAUGCGCAGAUAUCGGGAGGAACACCAAUGGCGAAGGCAGCUCGCUGGGACGGUACUGACGCUGAGGUGCGAAAGCGUGGGGAGCAAACAGG